UCUAUGUCAGGAUUGUAGUUAUGUAUCCUAUGGCCUUGGUAACAGCUUAACCCAAACUUCCUUGUCUACCCAUUAAAAAUAAAAAUAAUUUUGAACAGUGGGAAAUAGCAAAAAAAAAACAGUAUUUAAGCAAUAUGAGGAAAAACUUAACAAUUUGUUUUUAUGAGUCAAGGAAAAGGAAAUAGAUUUUUUUUUAUUUGGUAAAGUGAAGGUAAAAAUCUCAAAAAUGAAAGUUUGAUACUUACCAAUCAUCAGACGUACAGUUUCAGGAUUAAAUGGAUUCCAUGUUCCAUUGGACAGAGCCUGUUGCAGUUCAUCAGCAGAUAUGUAACCACUUCUAUCUUUGUCAACACUGGAAAGAACAAAUCAGAUUUCUGUCAAUGCUUUAGUAAAUCAUGAAAAAAAAGCAUAAUGCAUUUAUUUAAAAACAAGUGUAUCUGAAAA